rnacentral:misc_RNA from 1 species
UCUCCGUAGGUGAACCUGCGGAGGGAUCAUUACAGAGUUUAUGCCCUACCGGGUAGAUCUCCCACCCUAUGUUAUUAUUACUUUGUUGCUUUGGCGGGCCGUUAGGCUCCGGCCCGACUACCGGCCCCGGCUGGUAAGCGCCCGCCAGAGGACCCAAAACACUGAAUAUUAGUGUCGUCUGAGUACUAUAUAAUAGUUAAAACUUUCAGCAACGGAUCUCUUGGUUCUG